rnacentral:rRNA from 1 species
GACGAACGCUGGCGGCGUGCUUAACACAUGCAAGUCGAACGCUGAAGCUCAGCUUUUGUUGGGUGGAUGAGUGGCGAACGGGUGAGUAACACGUGAGUAACCUGCCCCCUUCUUUGGGAUAACGCCCGGAAACGGGUGCUAAUACUGGAUAUUCACUGGUCUUCGCAUGGGGGUUGGUGGAAAGGGUUUUUCUGGUGGGGGAUGGGCUCGCGGCCUAUCAGCUUGUUGGUGGGGUGAUGGCCUACUAAGGCUUUGACGGGUAGCCGGCCUGAGAGGGUGACCGGUCACAUUGGGACUGAGAUACGGCCCAGACUCCUACGGGAGGCAGCAGUGGGGAAGAUUGCACAAUGGGCGCAAGCCUGAUGCAGCGACGCCGCGUGAGGGAUGGAGGCCUUCGGGUUGUGAACCUCUUUCGCUCAUGGUCAAGCCGCAACAAUGGUUGUGGUGAGGGUAGUGGGUAAAGAAGCGCCGGCUAACUACGUG